AUUGAACGCUGGCGGAAUGCUUUACACAUGCAAGUCGAACGGCAGCACGGGGGCAACCCUGGUGGCGAGUGGCGAACGGGUGAGUAAUACAUCGGAACGUGCCCAGUCGUGGGGGAUAACGUAGCGAAAGCUACGCUAAUACCGCAUACGAUCUAUGGAUGAAAGCGGGGGACCGUAAGGCCUCGCGCGAUUGGAGCGGCCGAUGGCAGAUUAGGUAGUUGGUGGGGUAAAGGCUCACCAAGCCUGCGAUCUGUAGCUGGUCUGAGAGGACGACCAGCCACACUGGGACUGAGACACGGACCAGACUCCUACGGGAGGCAGCAGUGGGGAAUUUUGGACAAUGGGCGCAAGCCUGAUCCAGCCAUUCCGCGUGCAGGAUGAAGGCCUUCGGGUUGUAAACUGCUUUUGUACGGAACGAAAAGGCUCUUUCUAAUACAGAGGGCUCAUGACGGUACCGUAAGAAUAAGCACCGGCUAACUACGUGCCAGCCGCCGCGGUAACAC
rnacentral:rRNA from 1 species